ACGGAAGGCAGCAGUGGGGAAUAUUGCACAAUGGGGGAGACCCUGAUGCAGCGACGCCGCGUGAAGGAAGAAGUAUCUCGGUAUGUAAACUUCUAUCAGCAGGGAAGAUAAUGACGGUACCUGACUAAGAAGCCCCGGCUAACUACGUGCCAGCAGCCGCGGUAAUACGUAGGGGGCAAGCGUUAUCCGGAUUUACUGGGUGUAAAGGGUGCGUAGGUGGUAUGGCAAGUCAGAAGUGAAAACCCGGGGCUCAACCCCGUGGAUUGCUUUUGAAACUGUCAAACUAGAGUACCGGAGAGGUAAGCGGAAUUCCUAGUGUAGCGGUGAAAUGCGUAGAUAUUAGGAGGAACACCAGUGGCGAAGGCGGCUUACUGGACGGUAACUGACACUGAGGCACGAAAGCGUGGGGAGCAAACAGGAUUAGAUACCCUGGUA
rnacentral:rRNA from 1 species